rnacentral:rRNA from 1 species
ACGGAAGGCAGCAGUGGGGAAUAUUGCGCAAUGGGGGGAACCCUGACGCAGCAACGCCGCGUGAAGGAAGAAGGCCUUCGGGUUGUAAACUUUUGUCGCGAGGGAAGAAACAAAUGACGGUACCUUGUGAGAAAGCCACGGCUAACUACGUGCCAGCAGCCGCGGUAAUACGUAGGUGGCGAGCGUUGUCCGGAUUUACUGGGUGUAAAGGGCGCGUAGACGGCUCAGCAAGUCAGAUGUGAAAUACCGGAGCUUAACUUCGGGGCUGCAUUUGAAACUGUUGAGCUUGAGUAUCGGAGAGGAAAGCGGAAUUCCUAGUGUAGCGGUGAAAUGCGUAGAUAUUAGGAGGAACACCGGUGGCGAAGGCGGCUUUCUGGACGACAACUGACGUUGAGGCGCGAAAGUGUAGGGAGCAAACAGGAUUAGAUACCCUGGUA